GACAGCAUAUGAUUAUCCUCCAUACUUGUAAGUCAGUUGAUUUUGAAAUGUUAAAGAAAAGGAAAUCAAAGUAAAAGAAGAUGCUUUCUUCUGUCUUGAAAAAAAAAUAACUAAAAAAAAAUCACAGUACAUACCCCCGUGUUACAAAGAAGCAGGCCGUGUUUGAAAUCUCCUCUCUCUCUCUCUCUCUACAUGCUGCUAAAUGGAGCCAUUAUAACCUACCUCUAAUCCUAGCUACAUAUUCAGAUUUAGUAACUUGGAAGAAACCAUAUCACAUUCUUGGCAAGAACAGGAAGAUACGUAUUAUAUAUAUGUAUAUCGAUCGCUGGUUGUGCUCUAUGGAGAUUAUAAUUUUACUUGCAGAAAUUUAAAUUUACGAGUUGCUAUUCUGAAUUGGCAGCGAAGCACAUCUAUCUUCAAUGACCUGGGAGCUCAAAAUUUUCCUAAGAGAACGAUAUUGCAGACGAACAUUCUCACCACUUCCAAUAAUUUUAAGCAAGUACCAGCCAUUGCGACACUGCGAGGUGAUAAUUGCUUCCUUUCCAACAAAUUUUUCCGGCGUCCUCCUAUUUCCCUUAAUUACUACUUUCUCAUUGACAGAAAAAGGAUACUGCACCCCCUUAUGCAAACCAUUGUCAGCAGCAACAUCUCCAUUCUCCCUGCUUGGUCUUCUCAUGGAAUCUGUUUGGUCACCCAUUUCUUUGCGACGCUUCCGAAGAGCUGCAUUAUGAAAUAGCCUACGAUCAUCCUCCUGCUUUAUAGCUGCAGCUGCAGCUCUCAAAGCAAAAUUAGGAAUCAAAGACCCAGGCUCAAUUUCUGCAUUGCAAAGGGUACAUCUUGACGUUUCAAGGACUCUUCUUAGCAUGAGACCACCAAAGGAGUGUCCGCAUGAAACAA
rnacentral:misc_RNA from 1 species